rnacentral:rRNA from 1 species
CAAUAGCGUAUACUAAAGUUGUUGCGAUUAAAAAGCUCGUAGUUGGAUCUCAGGCAUGGGCGCACGGUCCGCCUCGCGGCGGUCACUGUGUGUUUUGUUUCCCAUCCUACGCUUCCCGGUUAUCAGCCCAUGGUGCUCUUCACUGAGCGUUUUGGGUGGCCGGAACGUUUACUUUGAAGAAAUUAGGGUGUUCAAAGCAGGCACGUCGCCUGAAUAAUGGUGCAUGGAAUAAUGGAAUAGGACCUCGGUUCUAUUUUGCUGGUUUUCGGAACACGAGGUAAUGAUUAAGAGGGACAGACGGGGGCAUCCGUAUUGCGGUGUUAGAGGUGAAAUUCUUGGAUCAUCGCAAGACGAACAACUGCGAAAGCAUUUGCCAAGCAUGUUUUCAUUAG